rfam:Oryza punctata chromosome 5, whole genome shotgun sequence.
GCUCAUGAGCUUAUUAUCCUAGGUCGGAACAAAUUAGUUGAUAGUGAUAGGAUCCCCUUUUUGUUUAAGUCAUCAACUUCUUUUCUCGGAGAAGAAACAAUGACGGUAUCUGAGGAAUAAGCAUCUGCUAACUCUGUGCCAGCAGCCGCGGUAAGACAGAGGAUGCAAGCGUUAUCCGGAAUGAUUGGGCGUAAAGCGUCUGUAGGUGGCUUUUCAAGUCCGCCGUCAAAUCCCAGGGCUCAACCCUGGACAGGCGUUGGAAACUACCAAGCUGGAGUAUAGUAGGGGCAGAGGGAAUUUCCGGUGGAGCGAUGAAAUGCAUUGAGAUCGGAAAUCUGUUGGGCCGACACUGAUACUGAGAGAUGAAAGCUAGCGGAGCAAAUGGGAUUAGAGACCCAAGUAGUCCUAGCCGUAAACGAUGGAUACUAGGUGCUGUGCGACUCGACCCGUGCAGUGCUGUAGCUAAUGCGUUAAGUAUCCCGCCUGGGGAGUACGUUCGCAAGAAUGAAACUCAAAGCAAUUGAUGGGGGCCCGCUGUCACGCCCAGAGAUUCGCUAACCCGAAUUCCAAACAGAAUGUGUAUUAAAAACCCCUGU